GCACAGCAGUUGGGCCCAGGAAGUCUCUAGCAGCCCAGAAGGGGCAGGAGUCAAGGCCACAGGCCUCACUUUUUUCCCACAGGAAAAGAAUGCUUGGGGACUUUUUCCAUUUCAGAGCCUGUAGCUGUGGCCACAGUGAGACAUGAGUGUGAGGAGGACUCUCACAGCCCUGCCCCACUGUCCACCUAGGCAGAUUCCAGCCAAAUGACAUAGUCCUGUGACAGCUCACCUCAUCUCCCACCAAGGACCCAGAGCAGUCGGCAAGCUGUUCCCAGCCAGGAACCUCUGCCCCACAGCCUCUGUGAGCUGAGGGAAUGACAACCAUGUGCAAGUCCAGCCAGCAAGAUUCCAGAACAUUCCUCCACGGUAAGAUCUCAUCUAACAGCAACAAUCCUGGUGUACACAGCCAUAUUCAGCUCCCAAGCUGCAGAGACCUCCACACCCUUACUCCCUGGUGCCAUCUGCCUGACGUCCUUCUUUGCACCUCUGGCUGCCUGAUGAACUCCUACUCCUUUAUCAAGCUCCCUGUGCAUUACCUCCUGAGAGAAGCACCUCUGAGGAGAUCUACACCCAUCCAUCCAUCGCUCUGUAUGUAAUAACCCCUACCACACCAUCCUGGGCCAACUGGACAUGGCCAAGAAGCCCCCGGAGGCCUGACUCAGUGUCUCCCCAAUCCCCUGCCCCAGCCUGGGUAAGCUGUGGAGGGUCCUCAGGGUGUUUGCUGA